UCCAUAACUCCCCAAAUGUACUGUCUUCUAGAAAAUGGAAACAUAAAAGCACUCAGGCCAUCUUUGAAUCAUGUAAGAAAGUAGUAGGGGAAAAUGGCUUUUUUAAUGCCAAUUUUAUUAUCUUAGCUUUAUUCUCAAUAGGUAGAAGUGGGGAUUAGGGAGUAAAUUUGGUUUCUAGAAACAGAUGUUCCUCUCACUUGGGCACUAAAGUUUGACAACUGCUUUCUAAUGUACCAAAGAUGAUCUCUAAUUUCUUUAUAAAGACAACACUUAUCAAUAAUUUGUGCCAGAAAUCGUGCCAGGUACCAGUGAUACAGAUAAAUGUGACAUGUGACCCAGUUCCUAUCCUCAGAGAACUUUGCUUAUUCACUUCCUCCUAAGUGAAUCCGAUGGUCCCUGUGGCUUCUUAAGAGGUGGCCGUGGCUACUAUAAAAGCAAAUGCCUCUCACCAGAUGCCAUUUCUGGGACUGGGAUGGUAAUGCAUCUCUACCCAAAGCCCAAGACCAAGAUUACAGGAUUUCCCAGCAAUCUGAGGAUGAUUACGAGCAGGCAGGUGAGGACAUCACACAGCAGUCUCUGACUGAGUCCAUAGGAGACGUGCAGCCUGCAUCGUAAUUUAGAUACCAAACACAGAUAUUGCGAACAGUGAAAGAAAGAAACACUUAGGAGGGAUUAUAAAGGGAUUAUAAAGGAAAGCAUUCGAGUUUAAGGGUUGUGAAAAGGCCUGGGGAGUGAUGGAUCACAUUGUCCUCUCAAGAUGUCAGGGCACCCCAACCUGACCAGUAUAGCAUAUCUUCCCUCUAAAGCCCAGAGAGUGGAGUGGGGUCACCCAAGUCUGUGAGCGCUUUGUGCAUGAUGCUAAGUUUUCUGUCAUCCUCAGAUAAUCCUUGUCAGAGAAACCUGUGGCAUAAGGAGACAUGGAAAAGAACACUGGGGAGUUCCCACAGUGGCUCAGCAGUAACAAACCCAACUAGUAUCCAUGAAGAUGAGAGUUGGAUCCCUGGCCUCGCUUAGUGGGUUAAGGAUCCAGCAUUGCUGUGAGCUGUCGCGUAGGUCGCAGAUGUGGCUCAGAUCCCUAGUUACUGUGGCUCUGGUGUAGGCUGGCAGCUGUAGGUCCGAUUUGACCCCUAGCCUGGGAACUUCCGUAUGCCUUGGGUUCAGCCCUAAAAAGCAAAAAAAUGAAAAGAAAAGAACACUGGUAGCACACUAUCUAUCCUGAGCACUUGGAUGAGUUACUUAACCUCCUCGGUCCUCAGUUUCCUAUCUUAUAAAAUGGGGAUAAUAUCACUGUUUGUAUUAAAUUACGUAAAGAGUGUUGAGCACCUAGAUGUUGUAUGUAGAGUACAUUGCCUGGAUCAAGACGUGUUGGCUUCCUGGAAAAAAAUUUUAAAAGAUUCCCAUAGCACAUGCCUGAGAGUAUCUUUGUAAAGAUAAUGGUUAUGCUAUUAGCAACCAGGAUAGUCUGGCCAAUCAUGAAUAAAUUCAUUUUUAUCAAGCCUCAACAGUAAUUCUUGGCAGAGAAGCGAAGCACAGGGUGAUAGGCGAAGGCCAGCAAAAAGGUCAGGGCAUCAUACUGAAGUCAAUUCCUCCUAGGAGAGGACUCUGUAGAUUCCUUGGAAGAAGAGAAACUAUGCAAAACAAGCAGGCAUUCAAUCUAUUCAUCAAACACAAAUUGAGUGCCUACGCUGUGCUUACACCAAGUGACAUUCUGUUAAAAACUGAAGAAAGGGAAGGAGUCACAGUCCACAGAAGAUGCAAGAGACCCCACAACAGAUGUUGGUCAAACAUAGACACGGAUCACAGCUGGACCACCCAACAUACAGAGGAGUAUCUCCCCUCGCCCUCCUGAGACGCCCACCGGAACAGCUUGCAUAACCUCCCAGGAGAGAAGUGAGAGUUAGAACUUAGGAAAUAGCCACCAUGGGGGAUGAGACGGGAACUGAAUGCCUAACUGCCAGCAGGUUUUAGUGAUGGAGGCAUCCACGUCUCAACAUUCACAGCUCCAAUUCCAGGCCAUAUGGAUGGUACAAGAUGCUGUAGACGGCUGGAGAGUUUGCUCUUAGCUGGACAUAUGUCACCUCACUGUAAUAGCAGUUUAACAGAUACAAUGUUGUUGUCAUGGGCCUAAUCUCAAAAAGUAGUUUGGAAUGUAAUUGAAGUUAAAUAUACAUGUGAUGAAUAAUAUUCUAUCAAGCACUGGGUUCCAUUCUAACCACUGAGCUGCAAUAAAGGAAUUGCCUCAAGUCAUUAAAAGCUAGCAAGGAAAUGUUAAAUAACCCACAUCGUACCAGCUGCCAAUGGAAGAGACUGCCUUUGAAAUGCUGCUGAAAUUGGGGGAAAGGAAUACAUAGGACUUUAUUGUAAGCUCACAGAUCAGUUUGUUCCCUACAGUGUUAACAUUGAGCCAUAACAAUGUGUUCCUGUUAGUUACUAGCUGUGGCUUUACUCCAACCAGGUCUUUGUGCUGGAGAGGACAACUGUAGUUAUCACCAUUAAUUAAAAUCAGCUAUAUAAAAGGAAUUAGAAAGUUAAGUACUCUUUCAGUAAAAGAUAAAAGGGAAACAGGAGCAGUAGAGAGCAGGUUGCCACUUACCCUUAGGAAACUCAUUCUGAACAAGCACUGAAAAGAAAACAAAUGCAAUGAUCAUGCCAGAUACAGGCUUUUAAAGAGAAACUUUGGGGGUGCCUGGUGGCAAGUGUUUGUUUCAAUACUGUUAGCUUUCUUUUAAAAAUGUAUGAGUUUCUAGACUCUGGACUUGCAAUAUUUCCUUUAUUAGGCUUGUCAAUAUAUGAAUUGACUUUCUUUACAGAGGCUCAUAAUGUGCUUCCUCUGAUUUGCCUGCCCAUCAACCAGGUGGGUUGAAGAGUCUAGGCUCCCGGCAAGGUGGUCCUGGCCAUGGGCGCCUUGCCAUGGGAGAUCAUAUGCUUUACAUUUGCACACUCAACCCCUACAUCCUGGCAUGACCAUUGCCCUUAUACCAGCUUACAAAAUGCAAAUAGGAUCCCGCUUGGGAAUUUCACUGCUUCCUCAGUUUAGGUACCAUCUCACCUACCUGGAGUCCCCAUUGGUGAGAACUCAUUUAUUCUGUUCUCUGUCCCAUGGAACAGGAAAUAGCUGGGCUUUUCUACCUCUACCCUAGUAGCUCUACUUUAAUUCAUUCAGGGUGUAACUAGGUUCCAGUUUUCAAACAGGUGGUCCUAUGAAGUGAAGCAAUUCAAACAGCAAUUCAUAUGACAUGGUAGAGUUGGAAAGCAUUCCAAUAUUUAGAUAAACUUCAGUUUUGAAAGCUUGAAGAAGUCUUAUUUCCUCAUUUUGCAUAAGAAAACUGGGAUCCAGGAGUUCCUGCUGUGGUACAGUGGGUUAAGAAUCUGACUGCAGCAGCUCAGGUCGCCGCAGAGGUGAGGGUUUGAUCCCCAGCCUGGCAUGGUGGAUUAAGGAUCUGUUGUUGCCACAGCUGUGUCGUAGGUUGCAGCCGCAGCUCGGAUUCAAUCCCUGGCCCCGGAACUUCCAUGUGCUGUGGGUAUGAAAAUAAAUU
rnacentral:lncRNA from 1 species